GCUACAAGGACUCAAAAGAACUUUUAAGCAGUAAUACUUUUAAAAUGCUGAGUAAAGCAAGAAUUAAAACAAAGAGUUUCUACACUAAGAAGAAUCUACACCAAGAUGAUCUGGUCACCUCUUGGGCACAGGGGUCUUCAAAAAAUACUGUUUGUUAUAUGGAAUGACCCUCUAAGAAGAAUAGGGGAAGAGAUCCUGGGGAAAACUUUAUUAAAAAAAUGCAUGAAUAAAACAUUUUGAAAUGGAAAAAGUUCAGCUGUUGAAGAGAUAUGACCCUGGUCAGUGGAUGCAGCAGAUUGGUGAAAUUUUCCCUCAGCUCUCCAGGAACCCAGGCUGAGAAAUUCCCUAACACUAUAAAAUUGCCAGCUUUUAUUAUUAUCAUCACUAUUAUUGUUAUUGU